UUUCAAUCCAUCAGUACUAAACCCAUCACAGCUCAACAGUGACAGAGCUUUAAAACCAUGAAACUUGGUCGCUAAAAACUCCAAACUCUCGUCGCUAACCGCCAUUCGCUUCAACCGGAGCUCCUCUAGGAAUGGAUACGCGGUUGAGAAAGCACUCAGCCAUGGCUGCACAUCAGCUCCCCAAUCCUCCGGUACCAAAUUAAAAUCCGAAAACCUCGGUUUCCCCUUCAGAGUCACGCUCCGGAUUCUUGGAAACCUAGCCGCCACAAUCUCCGGUGACACCGAGUAGCAGUUACCGAUAAACACAUGCCUCCGGCUCCACCGUUCCGCGUUGUACCAGUCCUUACACACCAGUGACACCGAGCUACGGUCCUUGUGAGAGUCAAUUAGGGCUAGAACUCUCUCCAACACCUCAUCCGGAAACCGACUCGACUGAGUCCACUCACCGGCCGAGUCAACUCGGUCAACCAUGUGAGAGCCAUUUAGGGCGUCCGGAAACGAACAUAGCUGAGUCGACUCGGACGAGUCAACUCGGUCAACCGUUUGAGAGCCAUUUAGGGCUAAACCUACCUCGUCCGAAAACGGAAACAACUGAGUCGACUGAGACUGUUUAACACCGACGUGGACCGAGUCAACUCGGUGAGCCGUUUUGGGUCUUUUCCGAUUCGGAUCCAUACUAUAUUAUUAUCAUUCCACCAUAAUAAUAAUAAGGGUUAGAUUCAGAGCAAAUAAGAAGGCAAAUGUUAAAGAAUUGACCUAGAUUUGGUGAAAUGAUUGGGGGGAAAUGAUGUACGUACCUGUGGUAAUCGGAUGAUUUGAUUUACAUGAUGAAAGAAACCAUUAAUGAAGCUCUGUUUUUUUGGUGAUUAUAUAUGUCAGGUGAAAGAUAGAUUGGAAAGAAAAUGUUACGUUUUUAGUCCCUCAAUUAUAGGAUGAUUGAUGAUUUACCCCUCAAAAGGUUAUACCCUCCACUCCACUCUAUCCAAUCAUGUAAAGCCUUUAUAAACUUAAUAAUUUAUUAUGUUAAUUCAAUGUAUUA
rnacentral:lncRNA from 1 species